CUCGUGGUCGGUGACGUCGGCGUGCCAGUGUUCACUGUCGCUGUGCAGCCGCGCGGACACCUCCUUGAGCGCGUCCGGUUCGAGCCCGACCAGCGCGA
rnacentral:tRNA from 1 species